UACACUCAAUAAAUUCCCAUUAAUCUUUUAUUUAAAAAAGUACCAUCACAUGAAUCUAAUACUACUAAUUAAGAAUUAAGAGAGAAAAAUUAUCCACUUUUUUGAUACAUGUAAUGUGUUUUGAUGUCAAGAAACAUUUAAAAAAUAUGUUUUCGUCACGGGGGAUGUUUAUAAACAUUUUUAUUACAGUGGGGUCAAAUGAAGUAAAAGCUAAAUAAAU
rnacentral:lncRNA from 1 species